AUUCUUUUGUUUCAUAAAUGAUUGGGUAUCCAUGUCAUUUUGAAACAUGUGGCUCCCUCAAACCUUGUUGUAACAUUAUUAUCUUACUCAUAUAGAAUGAAA